ensembl:lncRNA
AAUUGAUAGACAAGGUACAAUCAUAAUUAAGUAGCACUAUGAACUAAGCAUGAUGUCUUUCUUAAUAAUAAUAAUUGGUCUCCUAAAUAGGCUGUUAAAGCCCAGAUAAUCUUCUUCACAUCUUCAAUUUUGUAAAGUUCCCCUGACAAAAAAAAAAAAAAAACCUCUACCAAGUUAGUAUUCAGGAUAAUCCUACUUCUCAAUUAGAGUUCUUAAUAUGGAAAAAAGUUUUCCUGUCCCAAGAGGAUAUUCUUAAACAACUAGUAUUGGUGAGUUUGACCCACUUUCCAUAAAAUAGAUUUUUCCUUAUAUUUAUCUUAUUCCUCCCACUUUUCUAGUCGUUUUCCCCUCCCUUCUCCUUUUCAUAUAACUUAUUUUCUCAAGCUGUUCUCAGUUAGGCAGUGUCUGCAAAGAGCGCUGAUGUUUUCACUCUGAAAAGUCUCCAGUGAUUACACCCAGUUUCUUUCAUGCUAGAACUACAUAUUUAUCAACCCCAGAGAGCAAAGAUGAGGCGGCACCAGGGUAGUGAGUGAUGUGAAUUGCUGUCACAGCAGAAAUUGUGUUCGGGGAGGCUUCUAGAUAGGAAAAAAAAAAAUCUUCCAAUUAGGGAGGGGCAGACAGCACAAAGAAAGACAAAAAAUGGAUGAGAAAAAAAAAAAAAAGGAGGGGCAGCAAGAAAGCAGUGAGCAAUUAGAGAGGGCUCAGUGGUGUGCACAGUUGCCAAUCCCUGCUGGAAAUGCCCUCCAGUGGCCAGAAGUGGGUCGUAAGUGUAAUGAGCCAGGCAGCCUGACAUCUGGACUCUUUAGUCCAGCCUCAGAUUUCCACCUGGGUAUGACAACUUCAGAACUUCAGAGCUCAAAGUAAAUCCAGGGUGGAGUCUGAGAGUCUGCAUUUCCAAUGAGGCCCCAGGUAUUUCAAUGCUGCUUGUCAUAAACCACACUUUGAGUAGCAAGAAACUGAAUAGUCAAGAUAUAAGACAGGAUAAGUGUACAAGGAUAUGUACAUUUUCAUAAUUUCCUGAAGAGUACCCUUUUAACAAGGACUGAAGAAAUGGCUCUCUCAUGACUGAGGAGUGGUGAGUGGAUAAAACGUGAGAUUUGGAGUCAGACAACAUGAGUUCUCAAAAUAAGAUUUGGCAUUUGCUGAGUGAUCUUGAGUUAUGAACUUAAUAUUUCUGACUCUCAAUUUUAAUCUGUAAAGUUAGGAAUUAUAAAAAUACCUACUUCUUCUGUUGGCUAUAAAAAUCAAAAGGGAUAAACUAUGAUAUGGACUUAAAGUAAUACUCGCUUGUUAAUAUAGGUGAAUCAUAUGCCUUAAGUAGGCCAUCGCAGGAGGUAAUUUUAGGCAAAGGGUGUUUCCCAUAGCCCACCAAAUCACAGCAGCAGGCCCUGUGCUUAUUCUGCCACUUUAAUGGGCAGUCCUAAUUGACUACAAAGAAAUCUGUAAAAACAAAUAUCACAAUUAAGACCUAUUGAUUUAUGCAGGUGACUUUAUUUUCAUCAGUUAUCCAGUAGUUAUGGAGUUAUUUGAUAUGUGUUUUUAUCUUGUACAUAUGUUUCCCGAGUUGUCUCAGGCCCCAUAGCUUCA